GUAGGUAACGUAUUUGGUUUCAAAGCCCUACGUGCUCUACGUUUGGAGGAUCUACGAAUUCCCCCUACUUAUUCAAAAACUUUCCAAGGCCCGCCUCAUGGUAUCCAAGUUGAAAGAGAUAAGUUGAACAAGUAUGGUCGUCCUUUAUUGGGAUGUACUAUUAAACCAAAAUUGGGAUUAUCCGCAAAAAUACUUUGUAAAUAA
rnacentral:rRNA from 1 species